rnacentral:tRNA from 1 species
GACGGUUUGGCCGAGUGGUCUAAUGGCCCAAAUUUAGGCUCUGGUCCUGAAAGGGCGUGGGUUCAAAUCCACAGCCAUCA